UACGGAGGGUGCGAGCGUUGUCCGGAAUCAUUGGGCGUAAAGGGCGCGUAGGUGGCGCGGCAAGCGUGCGGUGAAAGCUCGGGGCUCAACCCCGAGUCGGCCGUGCGAACUGCUGGGCUUGAGCACUGUAGAGGCAGGCGGAAUUCCGGGUGUAGCGGUGGAAUGCGUAGAGAUCCGGAAGAACACCGGUGGCGAAGGCGGCCUGCUGGGCAGUAGCUGACACUGAGGCGCGACAGCGUGGGGAGCAAACAGG
rnacentral:rRNA from 1 species